UUCGUGCGAACCACUGAAGACUGAACAUAUUAACAAGUUGUAUAAUGGUCAAGUAACAAUAGUUAUUAACUUUGAUUUAUUUAUGAAUGGUUGUAUUUAUGAUGUUAAUGUUUGUAACUGUUACUUUAAGUAUUACAAUGACAAGAAUUUAAUGCUAUCUUCAUGGCCAUUUCACUCUUAGAAUAACAUCCGUUUGAAAUGCCAGUUGCUGUAAAGUAAUUAUUAGAUUCAUCACUACACACUUCUGGUUGAAAACAUUGAUUCGGUUAUAAGUAAACAAGCAUAAUUUGUAAUAUAAUGAAAUGGCUCUGCUAACAAUACAGUGAACUAACAUUAAAAAUACCCUUGCUCACACAAAAUACAUGAAACGUAACAUUAUAGUUCAAAUAAAACAUCAAAUUUUAUCUCCUUCUUAAACAAUGGUUAUCAAACUGCCAUGAAAAUAGCCACUGUGGAUGAAUGACGGACAUAUUUUAUAUAAUGAUAGUAUACUUUAGUACUUGUACUCUCAUGACAUAACUUAUCGACAACAGGGGACCAUGUGGUCUUUCAAGACUCACCUUGCACACCCACCUUGAGAAAAGUAAAAAUUUAAACCCACAAUUAAUUUUUUUAUUUUCGUGUAAAUCAUUUAUUUUCCCUUCUUUCACUGCUGCUGAUGCAACUCAUCCCAUAAGUCAGUUACCAUGUUAAAUAAAUAAAACCAAAGUCUACCCUGUCCUUUUCCAAAUCCUAAACUUGUGUCCUAUUGACUUCAGAAUAUAGAUAACCUUCCAAACUUCACUUGUAACUCUACCCAAGAGACCUCAACGUGUCCCUGUAAGAAAACCCUUCUGUCUAGGGAAUAAUCCUAAUAGUCCUUUUCUGAUCCCUUUCCAAUAAGUUAAUAUCCUAUCUUUGAGUCCAAAACUCCAUAAUAUUCCAAGUAAAGCCUAACUAGUUAUCUGCAUAGAGAAAUAAUGAUCUUUUUUGACUUUUAAUUAAUAUUAGAUAUAAAUACACCCUAAGAUUUUAUUUACAUAAUGUAUAUUUUUAUAAAUCUUGGGAAAUCAGAGAAAAACAACAACAACAUAAAAGCAUAGUACAAGUUUUUAACAACUACUGAAAAGAUAGAAAAAAAAAGUCCAUAUUUUGAUGUUUUAAUAGAAAACUUUAUCUUUUCCCAAAAAAUAGGUUUUUCACCUGCUUUGGUUUGAAAAUGUAUACCAGUGCUUCAAGAAUAAAAUCCACAUCUGUGUAGGUGAUGUUAACCUAGUAGUGAUCUAACAUGGCCGUGUUUCAAAGUAGCUGGCUAGUUACAGUGGAUCAGAUCAUUUGACAAAGAAUCCUUUCUACUAAGUUCAGUAUUUCAAGUAUUUGAAAAAGGUUCUGGGUCAGUUGACUGUUUGUGUUACCUAUUUCUACAUUCCAGGGUUCUGGGUCAGUUGACUGUUUGUGUUACCUAUUUCUACAUUCCAGGGUUCUGAGUCAGUUGACUGCUUGUGUUACCUAUUCCUACAAACUGGUCUUUUGUAAAGUCAGUGAAGCAUAUGGUUUUAGGAAAGAGUGGAUGAAGGAAGAAAUAAAAGAACUUCAAAGUGGGACAGGUUUUGUAUCUAAUAACAGUCUCAGGAGAUCAAAAUUGACAGUGUAUAAUUACAUGGUCCAGAAGUCCCAACUGAAAACACCUUGAACAUCAUGCCAGAUGUCCCACAGAUACAGGAUUCCUGACACAACACGUACGUAAGGGGUAACCGUGAUCUAUUCGCGUAACUUAGAUAUCUAGGUAGGUGGUUAGUCAUUUCUUUAUCUUUAAACACCAUGUUUAGACAUAGCUUGUAAGAAAACUAACAGAAAAUAACUUCUUGAAUAAUGAAAGUCACUUGCAAGUUUCCCAUAAAAAGACAAAACUUUGUAUUUUGAUUAAACCUUGUCGUGUGUUAUUUUUCAGGCUGGGAACUAGUAAACAUUUUAACUAAAUUUCAUAACCUCCAAUUUUUGUGAUGGGUGUGGCUACUAAAAUUUGUUACUAUUCUAAUGCAGAUUUUUUAUGUACGUGGUUUAUUAAAAUACAUCUUAUAUGGUAGCCUACCCAACUUUUGGGGAUUCAUAAUCAUUCAAGCCAUUCGUUGACCAUACUGCCCUCUUUUGAGAAGACUACUUGAAGCAUAGUAAAUCUUUUCAUUAGGUUAGACAGUAUUAUUGUCAUAACACCAGUUUUUUGUUGGAUAGUUGUCUCACUUGUACUAGAUAAUAGAAGUUGAUGAUUUGCAUUAAGAUAAUUUUUGGUUUAUAUUUCUGGUCUUCAUCUUCAGGAAGAUGAUACUCUACAUAUGGAAUGCACAAAGCUAAACCCUGAGAGAAUACAUAGCCAGAAAGGUUUAAGAAGUUUUAAAUGGUUUUGCUAGUUAGUUCAUACGUGAUCUACAUAAUACGUUUUUAAGUUGGCUUUUCAACAAAAAUCAUUCCAUCACUCAGCUGCUAUUCUACUAAAUAACUGUACGUUACACUGAAGUCUA